rnacentral:rRNA from 1 species
GGUUAAGUUAACAAGGGCGCAUGGUGAAUGCCUUGGCACUAGGAGCCGAUGAAGGACGGGACUAACACCGAUAGUGCUUCGGGGAGCUGUACGUAAGCUAUGAUCCGUG